UGGGGAAUCUUGGACAAUGGGGGCAACCCUGAUCCAGCCAUGCCGCGUGGGUGAAGAAGGCCUUAGGGUUGUAAAGCCCUUUCAGUCGUGACGAUGAUGACGGUAGCGACAGAAGAAGCCCCGGCUAACUCCGUGCCAGCAGCCGCGGUAAUACGGAGGAUGCAAGCGUUAUUCGGAAUUAUUGGGCGUAAAGCGUCCGCAGGUGGUGCCUCAAGUCUGCUGUCAAAGACCGAAGCUCAACUUCGGGCAGGCAGUGGAAACUGAAGCACUAGAGUACGGUAGGGGUAGAGGGAAUUUCCAGUGUAGCGGUGAAAUGCGUAGAGAUUGGAAAGAACACCAGUGGCGAAGGCGCUCUACUGGACCGUAACUGACACUCAGGGACGAAAGCUAGGGGAGCGAAAGGGAUUAGAUACCCCCGUAGUCC
rnacentral:rRNA from 1 species